AAGUCGUAACAAGGUUUCCGUAGGUGAACCUGCGGAAGGAUCAUUAAUGAGAACGUGCCCUUCGGGGUAGAUCUCCCACCCUUUGUUUUUGUCACCCUGUUGCUUUGGUAGGCCCGUCUCGCGACCGCCGGCUUUGGCUGGCCCGUGCCUGCCAGAGGACCCCAAACUCUUAAUGUUAUUGUCGUCUGAGUACUAUAUAAUAGUUAAAA
rnacentral:misc_RNA from 1 species